GAGGGCGUAGCUCAGUGGUUAGAGCGCCUGACUGUGGAUCAGGAGGUCGCGGGUUCGAUCCCCGUCGCCCUCC
rnacentral:tRNA from 1 species